GGGCGCUUAGCUCAGCGGUAGAGCACUCGCCUUACAAGCGAGGGGUCACUGGUUCGAACCCAGUAGCGCCCACCA
rnacentral:tRNA from 6 species